rnacentral:lncRNA from 1 species
GAUUGAGCACACAAGCAUUUGAAUUGCAAGAAAAUUUGAGCACACCACUUCGACAAGCCUAUUCGACCCCAAAGAUCUAAACAAGUGAAUUUACAAAGAGAAUUUUCAGGUGGGGGACAUUAUUUUGUUAUCAAAAGGUGUUCAAAGGUUUGGGGAGGGGAAGAGAGAUGGAUUCUCACAUAUUGGAGGGAGGUGGGGUGGGUUAG